AGGACGAACGCUGGCGGCGUGCUUAACACAUGCAAGUCGAGCGGAAAGGCCCUUCGGGGUACUCGAGCGGCGAACGGGUGAGUAACACGUGAGUAAUCUGCCCCUAGCUCUGGGAUAGCUCCGGGAAACCGGGAUUAAUACCAGAUACGACCACUUUAGACAUCUUCUGUGGUGGAAAGAACUUCGGCUAGGGAUGAACUCGCGGCCUAUCAGCUUGUUGGUGAGGUAACGGCUCACCAAGGCGACGACGGGUAGCCGGCCUGAGAGGGCGACCGGCCACACUGGGACUGAGACACGGCCCAGACUCCUACGGGAGGCAGCAGUGGGGAAUAUUGCGCAAUGGGCGAAAGCCUGACGCAGCGACGCCGCGUGGGGGAUGAAGGCCUUCGGGUUGUAAACCCUUUCAGCAGGGACGAAGCGAAAGUGACGGUACCUGCAGAAGAAGCGCCGGCUAACUACGCGCCAGCAGCCGC
rnacentral:rRNA from 1 species